rnacentral:pre_miRNA from 1 species
UUAGUACUCCCUCCGUUUGGAAUUACUUGUCGCGGAAAUGGAUGUAUCUAGACGUAUUUUUGUUCUAGAUACAUCCAUUUUCGAGACAAGUAAUUCCGAACGGAGGGGGUAUAAC